GCGCACACUUUGGCAGCACAUAUACUAAAAUUAGAAUGGUACAGAGAAGAUUAGCAUGACCCCUGCACAAGGAUGACACACAGACUUGUGAAGCAUUCCAUAUUUUU